CCAAUAGCGUAUAUUAAAGUUGUUGCAGUUAAAAAGCUCGUAGUUGAAUUUCGGGGUCAGCAGGUUGGUCGUGCCACUGGUAUGCACUGGCCUCGCUGAUUCCUCCCUCUUGUAGAACCGUAAUGCCAUUAAGUUGGUGUUGCGGGGAGACAGGACUGUUACUUUGAAAAAAUUAGAGUGUUUAAAGCAGGCUAACGCUUGAAUACAUUAGCAUGGAAUAAUGAAAUAGGACGAUCGAUCCUAUUUUGUUGGUUUCUAGGGUUGACGUAAUGAUUAAUAGGGAUAGUUGGGGGCAUUAGUAUUCAAUUGUCAGAGGUGAAAUUCUUGGAUUUAUUGAAGACUGACUACUGCGAAAGCAUUUGCCAAGGAUGUUUUCAUUAAUCAAGAACGAAAGUUAGGGGAUCGAAGACGAUCAGAUACCGUCGUAGUCUUAACCAUAAACUAUGCCGACUAGGGAUCGGAUGAUGUUAAUUUUUUAAUGACUCAUUCGGCGCCUUACG
rnacentral:rRNA from 1 species